UGGGGAAUUUUGGACAAUGGGCGAAAGCCUGAUCCAGCAAUGCCGCGUGUGUGAAGAAGGCCUUCGGGUUGUAAAGCACUUUUAUCCGGAAAGAAAUCCUUGGCUCUAAUACAGUCGGGGGAUGACGGUACCGGAAGAAUAAGCACCGGCUAACUACGUGCCAGCAGCCGCGGUAAUACGUAGGGUGCAAGCGUUAAUCGGAAUUACUGGGCGUAAAGCGUGCGCAGGCGGUUUGCUAAGACCGAUGUGAAAUCCCCGGGCUCAACCUGGGAACUGCAUUGGUGACUGGCAGGCUAGAGUAUGGCAGAGGGGGGUAGAAUUCCACGUGUAGCAGUGAAGUGCGUAGAGAUGUGGAGGAAUACCGAUGGCGAAGGCAGCCCCCUGGGCCAAUACUGACGCUCAUGCACGAAAGCGUGGGGAGCAAACAGGAUUAGAUACCCUGGUAGUCCACGCCCUAAACGAUGUCAACUAGUUGUUGGGGAUUCAUUUCCUUAGUAACGUAGCUAACGCGUGAAGUUGACCGCCUGGGGAGUACGGUCGCAAGAUUAAAACUCAAAUGAAUUGA
rnacentral:rRNA from 1 species